UGGGGAAUUUUGGACAAUGGGCGAAAGCCUGAUCCAGCAAUGCCGCGUGUGUGAAGAAGGCCUUCGGGUUGUAAAGCACUUUUGUCCGGAAAGAAAUCCUUGGCUCUAAUACAGUCGGGGGAUGACGGUACCGGAAGAAUAAGCACCGGCUAACUACGUGCCAGCAGCCGCGGUAAUACGUAGGGUGCAAGCGUUAAUCGGAAUUACUGGGCGUAAAGCGUGCGCAGGCGGUUUGCUAAGACCGAUGUGAAAUCCCCGGGCUCAACCUGGGAACUGCAUUGGUGACUGGCAGGCUAGAGUAUGGCAGAGGGGGGUAGAAUUCCACGUNUAGCAGUGAAAUGCGUAGAGAUGUGGAGGAAUACCGAUGGCGAAGGCAGCCCCCAUGGGCCAAUACUGACGCUCAUGCACGAAAGCGUGGGGAGCAAACAGGAUUAGAUACCCUGGUAGUCCACGCCCUAAACGAUGUCAACUAGUUGUUGGGGAUUCAUUUCCUUAGUAACGUAGCUAACGCGUGAAGUUGACCGCCUGGGGAGUACGGUCGCAAGAUUAAAACUCAAAGGAAUUGACGGGGUCAUAGCUG
rnacentral:rRNA from 1 species